rnacentral:rRNA from 1 species
GAGUUUGAUCCUGGCUCAGGAUGAACGCUGGCGGCGUGCCUAAUACAUGCAAGUCGAGCGAACGGACGAGAAGCUUGCUUCUCUGAUGUUAGCGGCGGACGGGUGAGUAACACGUGGAUAACCUACCUAUAAGACUGGGAUAACUUCGGGAAACCGGAGCUAAUACCGGAUAAUAUUUUGAACCGCAUGGUUCAAAAGUGAAAGACGGUCUUGCUGUCACUUAUAGAUGGAUCCGCGCUGCAUUAGCUAGUUGGUAAGGUAACGGCUUACCAAGGCAACGAUGCAUAGCCGACCUGAGAGGGUGAUCGGCCACACUGGAACUGAGACACGGUCCAGACUCCUACGGGAGGCAGCAGUAGGGAAUCUUCCGCAAUGGGCGAAAG